GGAAAUCUUUAUCCAUAGAGUGGUGUGAAUCAAUCACUGAUAUCAAACCAAUUAUGCUGCCUGGAACCAUUGUGGCUCCAGCAGUUAACCUGGAUUGAGUUGUAUUAGACAGUAGGCUGCCCAAGUGGUCCAGGCUUUAUGGAUGGACUAAGACAAGUAAAAGUAAUCCUCCAGUAUCAUAGUAGGCACGGCUGGACUGAUGAGCUUGGUGGUGUGUUAACUGAUGUGAUUAGUCCAGCAUCCACACAGGCAGAAGGACAGUGAGCUGGAGCUGUUUUAGUGUCUCCAGGCCCUUGGCCCCAGCUACUGAACACCCCAUCGAUUUGCUUAACACAGACAAAGCAGCUACAACAGCCCCGACCUCCGCGCUUCCCAUCAGGCCUGGUUCACGUCCCUGGGAGUGUCAGCGAUAGUGGCAUGGGUAUCCACGCCAUGAUGAGACAACCUUUUCCCAGCGUUCUUUACUGACACAUGCUCCCCUGAGACAGUCAGCCGUGUACUUCACAUGACACUUACUCAAGGUGAAGCAUUAGCGAGUCCUGAAGAUGGCCGUUGAUGAACAGUGUGCCUCGGUAAUGACGUGUGGUGCAGACGAGCUCCAAAGGUCGCUAAUUACGGAGUGCUGCAGGUGUUUCCAGCUGAUGAGUUUCCCUGAGUGAGUGGGAAAUCACCGGCUAGAGGCCCGCUGCGUCUCAUUCAGCUGACCGCCAGAGACCCCCAGGGGAAACCUGUGCACUGAUCACACUUCACAUUAGGCUCAUUGUGAUUUCAUGAGCUGUCUAAUCUUGGGCUUUUUUGUAAUCUUUGGGCUUUUUUGUAAUCUUUGGGCUUUUUUGUAAUCUUUGGGCUUUUUUGUAAUCUUGGGCUUUUUUGUAA